GCGACUCUCUGUCUGUUACUGACGCUGAGGCUCGAAAGCGUGGGGAGCAAACAGGAUUAGAUACCUGGUAGUCCACGCCGUAAACGAUGAGUGCUAAGUGUUAGGGGGUUUCCCCCCUUAGUGCUGCAGCUAACGCAUUAAGCACUCCGCUGGGGAGUACGACCGCAAGGUUGAAACUCAAAGGAAUUGACGGGGGCCCGCACAAGCGGUGGAGCAUGUGGUUUAAUUCGAAGCAACGCGAAGAACCUUACCAGGUCUUGACAUCCUUUGACAACUCUAGAGAUAGAGCUUUCCCUUCGGGGACAAAGUGACAGGUGGUGCAUGGUUGUCGUCAGCUCGUGUCGUGAGAUGUUGGGUUAAGUCCCGCAACGAGCGCAACCCUUAUUGUUAGUUGCCAUCAUUCAGUUGGGCACUCUAGCGAAACUGCCGGUGACAAACCGGAGGAAGGUGGGGAUGACGUCAAAUCAUCAUGCCCCUUAUGACCUGGGCUACACACGUGCUACAAUGGACAGUACAAUGAGCAGCGACACGGCGACGUGAAGCGAAUCUCAUAAAGCUGUUCUCAGUUCGGAUUGUAGGCUGCAACUCGCCUACAUGAAGCCGGAAUCGCUAGUAAUCGCGGAUCAGCACGCCGCGGUGAAUACGUUCCCGGGCCUUGUACACACCGCCCGUCACACCACGAAAGUUUGUAACACCCAAAGUCGGUGAGGUAACCUUCGGGAGCCAGCCGCCUAAGGUGGGAUAGAUGAUUGGGGUGAAGUCGUAACAAGGUAACCA
rnacentral:rRNA from 1 species